ACGCCGAUGGUGAAACGGUUAUCAUGCUUGCCUUCCAGUGUAUUGUGAGCAAGCGGUAGGGGUUCGACUCCCCUUCGGCGUA